rnacentral:rRNA from 1 species
GACGAACCGUGCGAACGUUGUUCGGAAUCACUGGGCUUAAAGGGCGCGUAGGCGGCUUGUCAAGUCAGGGGUGAAAUCUUUCGGCUCAACCGGAAAAGUGUCCUUGAUACUGACAGGCUCGAGGGAGGUAGGGGCAUGCGGAACUUCUGGUGGAGCGGUGAAAUGCGUUGAUAUCAGAAGGAACGCCGGUGGCGAAAGCGGCGUGCUGGACCUCUUCUGACGCUGAGGCGCGAAAGCUAGGGGAGCAAACGGG